AAUAAAGUGCCUGAAAAUCAAAGGAUUAUUCUGAUAGAGUAAAUAAUGUAAUUAUAUUACCUUUAUUA
rnacentral:tRNA from 1 species